CGUCUUGUCUGUCUCACCUCACUCUUCUUGUCAGUCAGCUCGACUCGCUCUCCUCACUGGAGAAAUGAAAUCUGAUCUGUGAUGUGACUGUCGUUCGGCACGCUGCAUUGAGCAGCCGCGUUCAGUUUUUAAUUGUAGUGUCUGUUCUUUUACUGAACUAAAUGAUUAUUAUUACUAUAAAAAAUCUAAACAACGGUGGGGGUCGGUGACGCGGUGGGCAAGUGACGUAACCGGUGUUGCGGCUUAACACCGGUAUCACCGUCAGCAUCGCGGCAAGCCUAAAACUCACUUAAUUUUGAUCCUUUAAACAAGACCUCUUAUUUGAUGUAAUUUUAGCAAUUUACACUUAUAGACCAUAUUUAUGUAUUAUGUUCCAUUUUUUUUUUUGUCCUUAAAUUUUCUUGGUCUUCAGAAGUCUUCCAUUUAUCUUCAUCAAUCCUGCAGAAAGCCUGUUAUUCUUUCAUUUAGAUAUUUGAUCUGUAAUAAUGCUGGAUUGUCACAGCUUUCUGAAUAUUUCGUUUGAUAUGAGUCUCACCUGUCCGCUGCAGUGCGUGUGUUGAGGAUGAGGAUGAUGCUGUUGAAGGAUGGCUGAAGUGCGAGGCUGACGGGUUGACGCUGUCGCUGCUGUCUCCGCUCUCAGUGCUGGAUAUCUCCUCCUCCUCAGACUCCCUCAGUGAGGAGCAGGGUGACGCCCCCUCCACCUCCUCAAACUUCCUCUUCAGAAUUCCACUCAUGGCUGCCGUCAGGCUGCACCAGACAAAGAGUGCAACUAGAAUUGAGCCAGCGAUGAGAAGAGUGAAAAAAGAGACAUGCACACACAUACACACAACAGAGAAACCAGAGUCUGGAGAGAGAGAGAGAGCGAGAGAGAGGGGGGAAGGCUGGCUGGCAGCCUCAUUACUGAAGGAGGGAAUGUUUUGUUUCACACUGCAAGCCUCACAGAGCCAUCGGAUGACUACUGAAGCCCAGCAGAGCUGCUGAUCAACUGAGAUUUUGGAGGUAGGGGAACAAUAAAAUCUGAUGGUGAUUACAUGAUGCCCCAUCCUCAAAAAAAUACAAAUAAAUAAAAGUGAAUAAAUAAAUAAUAUAUAAUAAACAUAACAGCUGCAUAUUGUUAAAAUUAGAAACACCGAAACUGAC
rnacentral:lncRNA from 1 species